UCUUUCCUCUUAUUUCUCCUUCCCUCACCUGCUCCCAAAUAGACCAUUAAAGGGAGUCGGGGAAAAAGGGAAAAGUUAGCCCUACCUUCAUUCAGCGCCAACUCCCCUCUCCCCGUGAGAUUUCCUUUGCUCGGUGCCAGCCUGCCUCACAGACACCGCACCUGCGGAGGUCGACUCCCCGCGACCUUCUUCUCCUAGUAACCACUUCUGUUCGGUGCUAUGCCUUACUCUGACGCCCUUCUCCCUGUGACCCUGUGACCAACGGACGCGGUGCUGCAUCGCCACGUCUAUCCGUUCACAUCCAGGCAGUGGCAUCAGGAGGGGGAAUUUCCAGAGGUCGAGACGCCGUUGACAGCCCAAGCCACUAAGAUCCACUGCCUCUAUCGACCAUGGACAUCCACUACCGAAGAUGAAACCGAGGUAGGAAAUAAAGUCAUGUCGCCCGAAGAUCCUAGCUAUCGGUCCCACAAUGUUCGAGAUGUCUUUAGUUUUAUUUUGUUGUCAACAUUUUAACUUUUUGGUAUUCAAAAUUUACAUUUGGAAUUUAUUAUGAAAACAUUAUUUGUUUUACUUUUGUAAA